rnacentral:rRNA from 1 species
CCUACGGGAUGCUGCAGUGAGGAAUAUUGGUCAAUGGGCGCGAGCCUGAACCAGCCAAGUCGCGUGAGGGAGGACGGCCCUACGGGUUGUAAACCUCUUUUGCCGGGGAGCAACGGGCGCCACGUGUGGCGUCACUGAGAGUACCCGGAGAAAAAGCAUCGGCUAACUCCGUGCCAGCAGGCGCGGUAAUACGGAGGAUGCGAGGGUUAUCCGGAUUUACUGGGGGUAAAGGGUGCGUAGGCGGGCAUUUAAGCCGGCGGUCAAAUGUCUGGGUGCAACCCCGGCCUGCCGUAGGAACUGGGUGCCUUGAGUGGGCGAGAAGUAUGCGGAAUGCGUGGUGUAGCGGUGAAAUGCAUAGAUAGUACGCAGAACCCCGAUGGCGAAGGCAGCAUACCGGCGCCAGACUGACGCUGAGGCACGAAAGUGCGGGUAUCGAACAGGAUUAGAUACCCUGGUAGUC